rnacentral:rRNA from 1 species
UUCGCAAUGCCCGAAAGGGUGACGAAGCGACGCCGCGUGGGUGAGGAAGGCCUUCGGGUUGUAAAGCCCUGUCAGGAGUUAAGAAAUGUAGGUACGCUAAUAUCGUAUCUAUUUGACAAAGGCUCCAAAGGAAGCCACGGCUAACUCUGUGCCAGCAGCCGCGGUAAUACAGAGGUGGCAAGCGUUGUUCGGAAUUAUUGGGCGUAAAGAGCACGUAGGUGGAUUUGUAAGUCAGAUGUGAAAGCCUUCUGUUCAACGGGAGAAUUGCAUCUGAAACUACAGACCUUGAGUAUAGGAGGGGAGAAUGGAACUUCUGGUGGAGCGGUGAAAUGCGUAGAUAUCAGAAGGAACGCCGGCGGCGAAAGCGAUUCUCUGGCCUAUUACUGACACUCAGUGUGCGAAAGCUAGGGGAGCAAACGGGAUUAGAUACCCCGGUAGUCCUAGCCGUAAACGAUGGGCACUAAGUAGAGGGGUUUU